rnacentral:rRNA from 1 species
GCAGCCACCAUUUAAAAAGUGCGUAACAGCUUACUGGUCGAGCGUUGUCGCGCCGAAAAUGAUCGGGGCUAAGCGGAUUACCGAAGCUGCGGGUUCUAGAGACUAGAAACUAGAGACUAGAAACCAGAGAAGGAACAGACGAUGCCUUAUCACAGGCUCAACGUCUACAGGAAGGCCUAUCAGCUUGCACUCGACAUUCACAAGCUGACACUUCGUUUUCCGAGAAUCGAGCAGUACGCUCUUGCUCAGCAACUGAGAGCGUGCUCGAAGUCCAUCCCGGUGAACAUCGCUGAAGGCAUGGGCAAGCAAAGCUCACCCAAAGAGGUGGUGCGUUUUGUGCGCAUCGCGCUUGGGUCUUGUGAUGAGACACGGGUUUGGCUGGAUUUCGCACACGACCUCGGAUACAUCGAGGAACAGGCACACACCCAUCUCGACGAGCGAUAUCGCGAGAUAGGUCGUAUGCUCACCGGACUCGUGAAGAAGUGGAAAGACGAAUCCUGAAGAUGUCCGUUGUGCCUCCUCUUUUGUUUCUUCUCUCCAGUCAGUCCCGACGAAGUCGGGACGAUCUAGUUUCUAGUUUCUAGUCUUUAGAACGGUAGGGGAGCGUUGUAUGUUGGGCGAAGGGAGACGGUGACGACUCCUGGACGACAUACAAGAGCUAAUGCCGGUACGAGUAACGAUAAAACCGAAAGCCUAAGGUUUCCUGGGGAAGGGAAAUCCGCCCAGGGUUAGUCGGAUCCUUAGUCGAGGCCGAAAGGCGUAGACGAUGGACAACCGGUUAAUAUUCCGGUACCACCUAAGAAACGUUUGUACGAUGGGGUGACGCGGUCGUAACGACCUACGGACGGUUAGAAAUGUCCGGUCAAGUCGGCGAGGGCGUCCCAGGCAAAUCCGGGACAACAAGCCCUCCAAGACGAUGACGAGCCUUUUCUGGCGAAGUGGUCCAAGCGACCGCCGGGAAAACCCUCUAAGGAGUUUCUUCGGUGUCCGUACUAAAACUGACACAGGUAGGCGGGGUGAGAAUCCCAAGGCCCUCGAGUGAGAGCUCGUUAAGGAACUCGGCAAAUUGACCCCGUAACUUCGGGAUAAGGGGUGCCUCGCUCGACUUCACCGUCGGGUGGGGCCGCAGAGAAAUGGCCCAGGCGACUGUUUACCAAAAACACAGGUCUGCGCAAACUCGUAAGAGGAGGUAUGCAGACUGACGCCUGCCCGGUGCCGGAAGGUUAAGGGGAAGGGUCAUCCCCGACUUGUCGGGGAGAAGCUCAUAACCUAAGCCCCGGUAAACGGCGGCCUUAACUAUGAAGGUCCUAUGGUAGCGAAGUUCCUUGUCGGGUAAGUUCCGACCUGCAUGAAUGGCGUAACGACUUGGGCACUGUCUCGACGAGCUGCUCGGUGAAACUGUAGCUGCGGUGAAGAUGCCGCAUACCCGCGACAAGACGGAAAGACCCCGUGAACCUUUACUAUAGCAUAGUAUUGGGUUUUGCCCUAACAUGCGUAGCAUAGGUGGGAGGCUUCGAAGCCCUGACUCCGGUUGGGGUGGAGCCGACCGUGAAAUACCACUCUUGUUAUGUUGAAAUUCUAACCCGCUUCCGUGAAUCCGGUUCGGGGACAGUGCUAUGUGGGUAGUUUGACUGGGGCGGUUUCCUCCUAAAGCGUAACGGAGGAGUCCAAAGGUUCCCUCAGCACGGUUGGCAAUCGUGCAUCGAGUGUAAGGGCACAAGGGAGCUUGACUGCGAGACGGAUCCGUCGAGCAGAUGCGAAAGCAGGGCCUAGUGAACCUGCGGUUCUGUGUGGAAGGGCCGUAGAUUAUCAGACAAAAGGUACUCCGGGGAUAACAGGCUGAUCUCCUCUGAGCGUCCACAGCGGCGAGGAGGUUUGGCACCUCGAUGUCGGCUCAUCGCAUCCUGGGGCUGAAGGUGGUCCCAAGGGUUUGGCUGUCCGCCAAUUAAAGCGGUACGUGAGCUGGGUUCAGACCGGCGUGAGCCAGGUCGGUCCCUAUCUGUCGUGGGUGUAGGAUACUUGCGGAGAGUUGACCCUAGUACGAGAGGACUGGGUCGGACGGACCUCUGGUGUGCCAGUUGUACUGCUAAGUGCACCGCUGGGUAGCUAUGUCCGGAAAGGAUAAACGCUGAAAGCAUCUAAGCGUGAAGCCCCCUCCUAAAAUAGGUAUCCGUGUCCUGACCUUCGGGUCGGGACGAGAGGCUCCUGGUAGACUACCAGGUUGAUAGGCUGGGUGUGUAAGCACGGUAACGUGUUGAGCUGACCAGUACUAAUCAGCCGAGCGCUUGACCACAUCUC